rnacentral:rRNA from 1 species
AUGUGCAACGAAAAAUUCAUAAAUGUGCAACUGAACAUGCAUCCUAGCCAACUGAACCUAUAUUCUGGCAACUCGGCAUGCAUGCUAGCCAAAACUAAAACAUGCAUUGUACCCCACGUGUUAUCUGUCCAACUAAAAAACAUGUAUCCUGGCCAACUAAACAUGUAUCCUGGCCAAGUAAACAUGUAUAUUUCGCAAUACAUGUUUGUGAGUGAACACUUUGGGAAAACUGUAGUAUAUGUGCAAAUAAAAAACAUGUUUUCUGGCCAACUAAACAUGCAUGUUGGCAAAAAACUAAGAAAAUGUAUCCUGGCCAACUGA